rnacentral:snRNA from 1 species
CGAAAAAUUUGUACUGAACCGUUU